rnacentral:rRNA from 1 species
CUACGGGGUGCAGCAGUGAGGAAUUUUGCGCAAUGGGGGGAACCCUGACGCAGCAACGCCGUGUGAGUGAAGAAGGCCUUUGGGUCGUAAAGCUCUGUCAACUGGGAAGAAGUUACUAUGCUUAAAUAGAGUGUAGUAUUGACGGUACCAGUGGAGGAAGCGUCGGCUAACUCCGUGCCAGCAGCCGCGGUAACACGGGGGACGCAAGCGUUAUUCGGAAUUAUUGGGCGUAAAGGGCGCGUAGGCGGUCUUGUCGGUCAGGUGUGAAAGCCCGGGGCUCAACCCCGGACGUGCACUUGAAACAGCAAGACUUGAGUACGGGAGAGGAAAGCGGAAUUCCUGGUGUAGAGGUGAAAUUCGUAGAUAUCAGGAGGAACACCGAUGGCGAAGGCAGCUUUCUGGACCGAAACUGGCGCUGAGGCGCGAAGGCGUGGGUAGCGAACGGGAUUAGAUACCCGGGUAGUC